GGGAGUCUGGCCGAGUGGUUAAGGCGCUGUGUUUAGGUUGUAUCCCAACUAUAGACCGCAGUCACAUUGUGGCGCAGGUUCGAAUCCUGCGGCUCUCA
rnacentral:tRNA from 1 species